rnacentral:rRNA from 1 species
UGGGGAAUAUUGGACAAUGGGCGCAAGCCUGAUCCAGCCAUGCCGCGUGGGUGAAGUAGGCCUUCGGGUUGUAAAGCCCUUUUGUUGGGGAAGAAAUCGUGCAGGUGAAUAUCCUGCGCGGAUGACGGUACCCAAAGAAUAAGCACCGGCUAACUUCGUGCCAGCAGCCGCGGUAAUACGAAGGGUGCAAGCGUUACUCGGAAUUACUGGGCGUAAAGCGUGCGUAGGUGGUUGUUUAAGUCUGUCGUGAAAGCCCUGGGCUCAACCCCGGAUAAGCGUUGGAUACUGGCAGGCUAGACGGUUGGAGAGGCGAGUGGAAUUACCAGUGUAGCGGUGGAAUGCGUAGAUACUGGUAGGAACACCCAUUGCGAAGGCAGCUCGCUGGGCAACACGUGACGCUGAGGCGCGAAAGUGUGGGGAGCAAACC